rnacentral:rRNA from 1 species
GACGAACGCUGGCGGCGCGCUUAACACAUGCAAGUCGAGCGAGAACCAGUCCUUCGGGGCUGGGGACAGCGGCGAACGGGUGAGUAACACGUGGGUAAUCUGCCCUCGGCACCGGAAUAGCCCGGGGAAACCCGGAUUAAUGCCGGAUGGCCUCUCUGCCCCUCGGGGCGGUGAGAAAAGGUAGCUUCGGCCUCCGGCCGAGGAUGAGCCCGCGGCCGAUUAGCUCGUUGGUGGGGUGAUGGCCUACCAAGGCGACGACGGGUAGCCGGCCUGAGAGGGCGACCGGCCACACUGGGACUGAGACACGGCCCAGACUCCUACGGGAGGCAGCAGUGGGGAAUAUUGCGCAAUGGGCGGAAGCCUGACGCAGCGACGCCGCGUGGGGGAUGACGGCCUUCGGGUUGUAAACCUCUUUCGCCAGGGACGAAGCGCAAGUGACGGUACCUGGAUAAGAAGCACCGGCCAACUACGUGCCAGCCGCCGCAGUAACAC